rnacentral:lncRNA from 1 species
CUCGCUCACCUUCAUCUUCCGGACUUCCACCGUCCCAACAACAACUCUGCCUCUUCUGCAAUUGGAUUUUGUUAUUUCCCAAAACCAAAUCUUAUAUUGUUGUUUCUCUCAUCUCCAUUGUCGGUCUGAAUAUCUGAUAUCACAUCGUCGCUGGCCUUUUUUAUUACCGUCUUCGUUGCUUUUCCGUUGUUCGGCGUCGCCGUCUUUUACCUAACUGGAUCGAUUUUC